GCCGGAGUGGUGAAAUUGGUAGACGCAGGGGACUCAAAAUCCCCCGACCCCCGGGUCGUGUCGGUUCGAUUCCGACCUCCGGCACCA
rnacentral:tRNA from 1 species